GUGCGUGCAGAGCCCGCUGCGGGCUCCGGGCCCCUCUUCCCCCGUAGUGCUUCCGCUUCUGUGGGACUUGGCCUGCCCCCACUGGCUGAGAUCAGCACGCUGGCCAAAACAGUUAAGUGCCCGCGUCCCCCUGCCCGCCCUCCGCCUACUGCGGGCCCGCUGCUCACCCUCCUUCUCCCCCACAGUUGUCCGUUGUUAUAGGUGAUAAAACAAUAUUGGUUUUCACAUUCAUAGAUUCGCUUUUUGCAUCUCAAGUAUUUUGCUAUGGUACAACUUAUACAUACUUUUAACAUGGUAGUUUAUGUAUGCACUGUAUAUUUCAUAUGAAUAGUAGUGUGAUAAAUAUAUUAUGUGAAAGAUGCGUAUUUUAUGAUUGACUUUUCGCAAAUAUUAAGAUGAUUCGUAUAUGUGUUAUGUUAGAAAGUUAUGCUGUAUUAAUUUUCUUAAGUACUGUGUUAAAUAUAGUUUUAGGUUAUAACAUAAUGUUAAAUGUUAAAAUGGAAACUAUACUAUGUAAGAUUUUUUUUUUUUUUAAAGAGAGGAAUGAGAUACUCCCACCGAGAUAGCAGCCACAGAACACCUAAUUUAUUGCUCACUUAUCAGAAGCAGCUAACUUCUUCCUGCCUUGCUCAGCCUCAGGAUUAAGAGCAAGAAGUUGACACUGACCAGACAGAAACCUUUGUUUGGAGUUCUGCAUCGUGUAUGAGAUCCCCUUGUGACACCCUGCAGCCCAGCAAUGUUGUCCCUGCCUGUCUUCUUUGGGUGCUGUCCUGCUGCGGGAGCUGCACCGUCCUCCGAGGGCUCAGGUUCCCACGUGCUGCUGGACGGGACUGGCACGUGGGCGACAGUGAGAACCCUGAGUGACCUGGGAGCGCCACACGCCUUCGGCAAACUGAUGUAAGGAGACUGGCGUGGUGAGUUUUGUUUCCCCUGGAAAAGGGCCGGCAUUUGUGUGUAUGGGCCUGUGCCCUGCCCAGGACCUUUGGUCCCGAGUGGGCUCUCACCUGCUAAAAUUCCAAACAGCUCAGGUGAGACAGAGAGUUGGAAAUUUAACUUGGGGUAGAAACCAGUUUUGGAUAUAGCUGAAGUCUGCUGGUUAAACUUGUGUAGUCUGUUAGCUUGUGUGCUUGCAAAAAGGCCUGCAGAGAGAACAAAGGAAGUUCAAGGCCACUUAGAAAGGAAUGCAAGCAUCCAAGCCGAAGAGGAGGCCCCCACCGCAGGAAAAAGUGAAUCUGGGUUACAACUGAGUGCACGGCCUCAUCCCUGCGUGAGUAAAAAUGUGAGGUUUUGAAGGCACCCCUGGCAGCUGCCAGGGGUGGAGGGGCCCCCAGUGGACAGGGCAACGUGGGAGGGGUGUAAUUUUAAAUCCAGUCUCAGGACAAAGCUGAUGGCUCCUUUAGGACAAGACUAUUUACAUGUAGAACCAAUUCCCUCACUUUGCUCUUAUGAUUUUUUAACCCCCAAAAGUUCAAUACAUAUCACAAGCAAUGUGCAGCCCCCUUUCCCAGCCCCAAUGAUUUUAGUUCUUGACCUGCAAGCUUUACUUCACUACCUUAUCAAUUCUUCCAGCUCCAGCAGCGCAUUUCUCCAGCUCUGCCAGCGAAAACUACGCCAGAUUUAAAGGACGGGAUCUUAGGCAUAACUGCAGCUCUGCAACAAUUCAGAUCCCGCCCAAGGGGCUCUUAGCCCACCCCAGCAUCAAUAUGCCAGCCCCACAGUGAUUUCAGCUGCCACCCAGCAAUCCCCAGUCACUAUGCCAGCCCCUGCCUCAUUUCAACUGGAUGCCACCAGCCUUGUUCUCAGGUCUGCAUUUCUGUUUCCUUUUUCAUGCACAAUCCUAGGCAUGCCAUCCACCUGCCGGCCCCAGAGUGAAUUUGUCUCCAUCCCUGGAAGUGCCAUCACAGACCCAGGCAUGCCAUCCACCUGCCGGCCCCAGAGUGAAUUUGUCUCCACCACUGGGAGUGCCAUCACAGACCCAGGUAAUAUCCCAACAUGGGCGGGGGUUUUAGGCAUAUUGCUGCAGCCCACUUUUCCCCUCCACACAUCCUGUUCUACUUAGAGUCCCAUUACCCUGCCCCUGCAUCCAUGUCCCAGGCCUAGAGUGAUUGUGGCGCAAGAAUGCUAGAGCAUGUGUACACAUCCUAUGGUUCGUUCCCCUGUGCAGUCCUGGUGCCAGCCCUGCAAUAAGUAAAGCCUCAUGCCAAGUGACUUCAGCUCUUUCAGCUCUUGACCAACAAGCUUUAUUUGACUGCCACCUCUGUUCUUGCAGCUCCAGCUCCGCUCUUCUGCGGCUUCUAAGGGCAGCAUCUUGGUCUGGGCCCCAGCUCUGGAACACUUCAGCUCCUGCCCAUGGGGCUGUAAGCCCACCCCACCAUCAAUAUCCCAGCCCCAGUGUGAUUUCAGCUGCCACCCAGCAAUCCCUAGCCACUAUGCCAGCCCCUGCCUCCUUUCAAUCAGAUGCCCACAGCCUUGUUCUCAGCUCUGCAUUUCUGUUUCCCUUUUUCAUGCACAAUCCCAGCCUUGCCAUGCACUUGCCCGCCCCACAUGGAUUUUGUCUCCAUCCCUGGACCUGCCAUCACAGACCCAGGCACUAUGCCAGCAUCGGCGGGGGAUUUAGGCAUAUUGCUGCAGCCCCAUUUUCCCCUCCGCACAUCCUGUUCUACGUACAGUCGCAAUACCAAGCCCCUGCAUCCAUGUCACAGGCCUAGAGUCAUUUUGGCGCAAGAAUGCUAGAGUCUGUGUACUGAUCCUAUGGUUCAUUCCCGUGUGCUGUCCCGGUCCCAGCCGUGCAAUAAGUAGAGCCUGAUGCCCAGUGAUUUCAGCUCUUUCAGCUCUUGACCCACAAGCUUUAUUUGACAGGCAGCUCUGUUCUUCCAGCUCCAGAUCUGCGCUCCUUCCUCUUCAAAGGGCAGCAUCUUGGUCCUCUAGGUUUCCACCCACAAUCCCAGCCCCACAGUUUUUACGGCUCCAUCUCUAGAAGUGCCAUCACAGACCCAAGCACUAUGCCAGCAUCGGCGGGGGAUUGAGGCAUAUUACUGCAGCCCCAUUUUCCCCUCCGCACAUCCUGUUCUACUUACAGUCCCAAUGCCAAGCCCCUGCAUCCAUGUCACAGGCCUAGAGUCAUUUUGGCGCAAGAAUGCUAGAGUCUGUGUACUGUUCCUACUGUUCAUUCCCCUGUACAAUCCCGGUCCCAGCCGUGCAGCAAUGACAGGUCCAGGCCCAGUGAUUUCAGCUCUUUCAGCUCUUGACCCACAAGCUUUAUUUGACAGGCAGCUCUGUUCUUGCAGCUCCAGCUCCGCUCUUCUGCGGCUUCUAAGGGCAGCAUCUUGGUCUGGGCCCCAGCUCUGGAACACUUCAGCUCCUGCCCAUGGGGCUGUAAGCCCACCCCACCAUCAAUAUCCCAGCCCCAGUGUGAUUUCAGCUGCCACCCAGCAAUCCCUAGCCACUAUGCCAGCCCCUGCCUCCUUUCAAUCAGAUGCCCACAGCCUUGUUCUCAGCUCUGCAUUUCUGUUUCCCUUUUUCAUGCACAAUCCCAGCCUUGCCAUGCACUUGCCCGCCCCACAUGGAUUUUGUCUCCAUCCCUGGAAGUGCCAUCACAGACCCAGGCACUAUGCCAGCAUCGGCGGGGGAUUUAGGCAUAUUGCUGCAGCCCCAUUUUCCCCUCCGCACAUCCUGUUCUACAUACAGUCCCAAUACCAAACCCCUGCAUCCAUGUCACAGGCCUAGAGUCAUUUUGGCGCAAGAAUGCUAGAGUCUGUGUACUGUUCCUACUGUUCAUUCCCCUGUACAAUCCCGGUCCCAGCCGUGCAUCAAUGAAAGGUCCAGGCCCAGCGAUUUCAGCUCUUUCAGCUCUUGACCCACAAGCUUUAUUUGACUGCCAGCUCUGUUUUUCCAGCUCCAGAUCUGCCCUCCUUCCUCUUCAAAGGGCAGCAUCUUGGUCCUCUAGGUUUCCACCCACAAUCCCAGCCCCACAGUUUUUACGGCUCCAUCUCUAGAAGUGCCAUCACAGACCCAGGCACUAUGCCAGCAUCGGCGGGGGAUUUAGGCAUAUUGCUGCAGCCCCAUUUUCCACUCCGCACAUCCUGUUCUACUUACAGUCCCAAUACCAAGCCCCUGCAUCCAUGUCACAGGCCUAGAGUCAUUUUGGCGCAAGAAUGCUAGAGUCUGUGUACUGUUCCUACUGUUCAUUCCCCUGUACAAUCCCGGUCCCAGCCGUGCAGCAAUGACAGGUCCAGGCCCAGUGAUUUCAGCUCUUUCAGCUCUUGACCCACAAGCUUUAUUUGACAGGCAGCUCUGUUCUUGCAGCUCCAGCUCCGCUCUUCUGCGGCUUCUAAGGGCAGCAUCUUGGUCUGGGCCCCAGCUCUGGAACACUUCAGCUCCUGCCCAUGGGGCUGUAAGCCCACCCCACCAUCAAUAUCCCAGCCCCAGUGUGAUUUCAGCUGCCACCCAACAAUCCCUAGCCACUAUGCCAGCCCCUGCCUCCUUUCAAUCAGAUGCCCACAGCCUUGUUCUCAGCUCUGCAUUUCUGUUUCCCUUUUUCAUGCACAAUCCCAGCCUUGCCAUGCACUUGCCCGCCCCACAUGGAUUUUGUCUCCAUCCCUGGAAGUGCCAUCACAGACCCAGGCACUAUGCCAGCAUCGGCGGGGGAUUUAGGCAUAUUGCUGCAGCCCCAUUUUCCCCUCCGCACAUCCUGUUCUACGUACAGUCGCAAUACCAAGCCCCUGCAUCCAUGUCACAGGCCUAGAGUCAUUUUGGCGCAAGAAUGCUAGAGUCUGUGUACUGAUCCUAUGGUUCAUUCCCCUGUGCUGUCCCGGUCCCAGCCGUGCAAUAAGUAGAGCCUGAUGCCCAGUGAUUUCAGCUCUUGACCCACAAGCUUUAUUUGACAGGCAGCUCUGUUCCUCCAGCUCCAGAUCUGCGCUCCUUCCUCUUCAAAGGGCAGCAUCAUGGUCCUUCAGGUUUCCACCCACAAUCCCAGCCCCACAGUUUUUACGGCUCCAUCUCUAGAAGUGCCAUCACAGACCCAAGCACUAUGCCAGCAUCGGCGGGGGAUUGAGGCAUAUUACUGCAGCCCCAUUUUCCCCUCCGCACAUCCUGUUCUACUUACAGUCCCAAUACCAAGCCCCUGCAUCCAUGUCACAGGCCUAGAGUCAUUUUGGCGCAAGAAUGCUAGAGUCUGUGUACUGUUCCUACUGUUCAUUCCCCUGUACAAUCCCGGUCCCAGCCGUGCAGCAAUGACAGGUCCAGGCCCAGUGAUUUCAGCUCUUUCAGCUCU